AGUCAGUAGGAGUAGACCCGAAACCGGGUGAUCUAUCCAUGUCCAGGUUGAAGCUGCCGUAAGAGGUAGUGGAGGACCGAACCCACAUCCGUUGAAAAGGGUGGGGAUGAGGUGUGGAUAGGGGAGAAAUUCCAAUCGAACCCGGAGAUAGCUGGUUCUCCUCGAAAUAGCUUUAGGGCUAGCCUCGAUACAGAUUUGCGGAGGUAGAGCACUGAAUUUCCUAGGGGGCGUCAAAGCCUACCGAAGAAUAUCAAACUCCGAAUGCCGCGUAAUCGAUUAUCGGGAGUCAGACUGCACGAGAUAAGUUGGGCGGUCAAAAGGGAAAGAGCCCAGACCUUCAGUUAAGGUCCCCAAGUGCGCGUUAAGUGGAAAAGGAUGUGGGAUUUCGAAGACAACCAGGAUGUUGGCUCAGAAGCAGCCAUCCAUUCAAAGAGUGCGUAAUAGCUCACUGGUCGAGAGGUCCUGCGCCGAAAAUGUCCGGGGCUGAAACGCGCCACCGAAACUAAGGAACCGAAAGGUUGGUAGAGGAGCAUUGCAUGCGGGAAGAAGCAGUACCGAAAGGAGCUGUGGACUGCAUGGAAGAGAGAAUGCCGGAAUGAGUAGCGAGAAUAAGGUGAGAAUCCUUAUGGCCGAAUAUCCAAGGUUUCCAGAGUAAAGCUGAUCUGCUCUGGGUAAGUCGGGGCCUAAGGCGAGGACGAGAGUCGUAGCCGAUGGACAACAGGUGGAGAUUCCUGUACUGCGGUAUGACAGAACUGUGGGGACACGUAAGGAAAGCGGAAGCCGGGAAUGGAAAGCCCGGUGCAAGCGGGGUACCAGCCACUUUGGCAAAUCCGGGUGGCAAUGGGAAGCCGUGAUGCGGAGCGAAAUAAAGUAGCGAAGUCCGUGAGCCAUGCGUCAAGAAAAGCCGCUAUCGUUUAUACCGUACCCGUACCGUAAACCGACACAGGUGGAUGAGGAGAGAAUCCUAAGGCCGGCGGAAGAAGCAUUGUCAAGGAACUCGGCAAAAUGGCCCCGUAACUUAGGGAUAAGGGGUGCCUGGGAAACCAGGCCGCAGAGAAUAGGCUCAAGCAACUGUUUAGCAAAAACACAGGUCUAUGCGAAACCGAAAGGUGAGGUAUAUGGGCUGACGCCUGCCCGGUGCUGGAAGGUUAAGAGGAGAGGUUAGCGGUAACGCGAAGCUUUGAAUUUAAGCCCCAGUAAACGGCGGCCGUAACUAUAACGGUCCUAAGGUAGCGAAAUUCCUUGUCGGGUAAGUUCCGACCCGCACGAAAGGCGUAAUGAUUUGAGCGCUGUCUCGACAAUGCAUCCGGUGAAAUUGAAGUACCAGUGAAGAUGCUGGUUACCUGCGCCAGGACGGAAAGACCCCAUGGAGCUUUACUCCAGUCUGGUACUGGGACUCGGUAUUGCAUGUACAGGAUAGGUGGGAGGCUAGGAGAUGGUAACGCCAGUUGCCAUGGAGCCGCUGUUGGGAUACCACCCUUGCAGUAUUGGGUUUCUAACCAGCCGCCGUGACCCGGCGGUGGGACAAUGCCAGACGGGGAGUUUGACUGGGGCGGUCGCCUCCGAAAGGGUAUCGGAGGCGCCCAAAGGUUCCCUCAGAAUGGACGGAAACCAUUCGAAGAGUGCAAAGGCAGAAGGGAGCUUGACUGCGACACCGACGGGUGGAGCAGGUACGAAAGUAGGGCUUAGUGAUCCGGUGGUAUUAAGUGGGAAUGCCAUCGCUCAACGGAUAAAAGCUACCCUGGGGAUAACAGGCUUAUCACUCCCAAGAGUUCACAUCGACGGAGUGGUUUGGCACCUCGAUGUCGGCUC
rnacentral:rRNA from 1 species